AUGAACGCUGGCGGCGUGCCUAAUACAUGCAGGUCGAGCGAACAGAUGAGGAGCUUGCUCCUCUGACGUUAGCGGCGGACGGGUGAGUAACACGUGGAUAACCUACCUAUAAGACUGGGAUAACUUCGGGAAACCGGAGCUAAUACCGGAUAAUAUAUUGAACCGCAUGGUUCAAUAGUGAAAGACGGUUUUGCUGUCACUUAUAGAUGGAUCCGCGCCGCAUUAGCUAGUUGGUAAGGUAACGGCUUACCAAGGCAACGAUGCGUAGCCGACCUGAGAGGGUGAUCGGCCACACUGGAACUGAGACACGGUCCAGACUCCUACGGGAGGCAGCAGUAGGGAAUCUUCCGCAAUGGGCGAAAGCCUGACGGAGCAACGCCGCGUGAGUGAUGAAGGUCUUCGGAUCGUAAAACUCUGUUAUUAGGGAAGAACAAAUGUGUAAGUAACUAUGCACGUCUUGACGGUACCUAAUCAGAAAGCCACGGCUAACUACGU
rnacentral:rRNA from 1 species